CGCUCGGGUGGUCGGUGCGGCUGGUCGGUCAGCGUGACUGCGGGCCGCGUCGCUGCGGCAGUGUGACGACCGACGCGUCGCCGGGCGCC
rnacentral:tRNA from 1 species